GAUGAACGCUGGCGGCGUGCCUAAUACAUGCAAGUCGAGCGAACAGACGAGGAGCUUGCUCCUCUGACGUUAGCGGCGGACGGGUGAGUAACACGUGGAUAACCUACCUAUAAGACUGGGAUAACUUCGGGAAACCGGAGCUAAUACCGGAUAAUAUAUUGGACCGCAUGGUUCAAUAGUGAAAGACGGUUUUGCUGUCACUUAUAGAUGGAUCCGCGCCGCAUUAGCUAGUUGGUAAGGUAACGGCUUACCAAGGCAACGAUGCGUAGCCGACCUGAGAGGGUGAUCGGCCACACUGGAACUGAGACACGGUCCAGACUCCUACGGGAGGCAGCAGUAGGGAAUCUUCCGCAAUGGGCGAAAGCCUGACGGAGCAACGCCGCGUGAGUGAUGAAGGUCUUCGGAUCGUAAAACUCUGUUAUUAGGGAAGAACAAAUGUGUAAGUAACUAUGCACGUCUUGACGGAACCUAAUCAGAAAGCCACGGCUAACUACGUG
rnacentral:rRNA from 1 species